AAGACUAUACUUUCAGGGAUCAUUUCUGUAGUUGGUCACUAGAGGAGAGUGAUCGUACCUGAUCGGCGUCACAACCCACGAGGAGGAGUGGGGUGCUCUCUCCUGAGCGCGAAGCGGGCGGGCGGUGCUGCUUGUGCAGGGGCCGC
rnacentral:snoRNA from 1 species